CAUCCGAAAUUUCUUUUGGUUAAGGUCGGCGCGUAAUAAAUGUUAGUUAAAUAUAUUAAAAAUGGAACUGAUACCACUUAUAUUUGGGAUAUAUGAUGCCCUGACCAUGGGUAAAAUAUCGUAUAUAAAGGCAGACGGUAGAACAAAUAUAACAAGAUGAGAUUAAGGGCGAGCAUUGGAACUGCCGGGCUCCACGUGGUGCAAUGUGAGACACCUGGAGACAUUUCAACAUUGAACUUCUAAGGAGAAUAUCAUCCCAAGGACUAUGAAUUGAGCAUGAGAUAAAUUCUAAUACAUCUUCCGCCCACUAAAAGGCAAUGCAUAAGGAUACUUUUUAAGCAGUGGAUUCUGACUCACAGUUCAUCAAAAGGUAAAACUUAAAUGUGAGGUCUUCAACGGACUAACCAGUGCUUAUCGUAUGGAUCAAUUAAAAGGCUGUGCAAAAAGGAUAAUUCCUCAAGAACGCAUUUUCAUUGACAGGUUAUUAAAAGGAUGCAAAAGGAUUCUGCCCUGGGUGUUAUAAAGGAAUCUUUAAACAAAAUACCGUUCCAUAUAUAAAAUAAAUUCUUUAUUUAAGCAUACACAAUAAAAUAUUUUAACUGUCUAAA